UACGUAGGGUGCAAGCGUUAAUCGGAAUUACUGGGCGUAAAGCGUGCGCAGGCGGCUUUGCAAGACAGAUGUGAAAUCCCCGGGCUCAACCUGGGAACUGCAUUUGUGACUGCAUGGCUAGAGUGCGGCAGAGGGGGAUGGAAUUCCGCGUGUAGCAGUGAAAUGCGUAGAGAUCGGAAAGAACACCAACGGCGAAAGCACUCUGCUGGGCCGACACUGACACUGAGAGACGAAAGCUAGGGGAGCGAAUGGG
rnacentral:rRNA from 1 species